AGCUACAGGCUUAACACAUGCAAGUCGAGGGGCAUCAGGAAGAAAGCUUGCUUUCUUUGCUGGCGACCGGCGCACGGGUGAGUAACACGUAUCCAACCUGCCCUUUACUCGGGGAUAGCCUUUCGAAAGAAAGAUUAAUACCCGAUAGCAUAAUGGUUCCGCAUGGUUUCAUUAUUAAAGGAUUCCGGUAAAGGAUGGGGAUGCGUUCCAUUAGGUUGUUGGUGAGGUAACGGCCCACCAAGCCUUCGAUGGAUAGGGGUUCUGAGAGGAAGGUCCCCCACAUUGGAACUGAGACACGGUCCAAACUCCUACGGGAGGCAGCAGUGAGGAAUAUUGGUCAAUGGGCGCUAGCCUGAACCAGCCAAGUAGCGUGAAGGAUGAAGGCUCUAUGGGUCGUAAACUUCUUUUAUAUAAGAAUAAAGUGCAGUAUGUAUACUGUUUUGUAUGUAUUAUAUGAAUAAGGAUCGGCUAACUCCGUGCCAGCAGCCGCGGUAAUACGGAGGAUCCGAGCGUUAUCCGGAUUUAUUGGGUUUAAAGGGAGCGUAGGUGGACUGGUAAGUCAGUUGUGGAAGUUUGCGGCUCAACCGUAAAAUUGCAGUUGAUACUGUCAGUCUUGAGUACAGUAGAGGUGGGCGGAAUUCGUGGUGUAGCGGUGAAAUGCUCAGAUAUCACGAAGAACUCCGAUUGCGAAGGCAGCUCACUGGACUGCAACUGACACUGAUGCUCGAAAGUGUGGGUAUCAAACAGGAUUAGAUACCCUGGUAGUCCACACAGUAAACGAUGAAUACUCGCUGUUUGCGAUAUACAGUAAGCGGCCAAGCGAAAGCAUUAAGUAUUCCACCUGGGGAGUACGCCGGCAACGGUGAAACUCAAAGGAAUUGACGGGGGCCCGCACAAGCGGAGGAACAUGUGGUUUAAUUCGAUGAUACGCGAGGAACCUUACCCGGGCUUAAAUUGCAGUGGAAUGAUGUGGAAACAUGUCAGUGAGCAAUCACCGCUGUGAAGGUGCUGCAUGGUUGUCGUCAGCUCGUGCCGUGAGGUGUCGGCUUAAGUGCCAUAACGAGCGCAACCCUUAUCUUUAGUUACUAACAGGUUAUGCUGAGGACUCUAGAGAGACUGCCGUCGUAAGAUGUGAGGAAGGUGGGGAUGACGUCAAAUCAGCACGGCCCUUACGUCCGGGGCUACACACGUGUUACAAUGGGGGGUACAGAAGGCAGCUAGCGGGUGACCGUAUGCUAAUCCCAAAAUCCUCUCUCAGUUCGGAUCGAAGUCUGCAACCCGACUUCGUGAAGCUGGAUUCGCUAGUAAUCGCGCAUCAGCCACGGCGCGGUGAAUACGUUCCCGGGCCUUGUACACACCGCCCGUCAAGCCAUGGGAGCCGGGGGUACCUGAAGUAUGUAACCGCAAGGAUCGUCCUAGGGUAAAACUGGUGACUGGGGCUAAGUCGU
rnacentral:rRNA from 1 species